GUUUCGGCAAGGGGGUCAUCCCGACUUACCAACCCGAUGCAAACUGCGAAUACCGGAGAAUGUUAUCACGGGAGACACACGGCGGGUGCUAACGUCCGUCGUGAAGAGGGAAACAACCCAGACCGCCAGCUAAGGUCCCAAAGUCAUGGUUAAGUGGGAAACGAUGUGGGAAGGCCCAGACAGCCAGGAUGUUGGCUUAGAAGCAGCCAUCAUUUAAAGAAAGCGUAAUAGCUCACUGGUCGAGUCGGCCUGCGCGGAAGAUGUAACGGGGCUAAACCAUGCACCGAAGCUGCGGCAGCGACGCUUAUGCGUUGUUGGGUAGGGGAGCGUUCUGUAAGCCUGUGAAGGUGUGCUGUGAGGCAUGCUGGAGGUAUCAGAAGUGCGAAUGCUGACAUAAGUAACGAUAAAGCGGGUGAAAAGCCCGCUCGCCGGAAGACCAAGGGUUCCUGUCCAACGUUAAUCGGGGCAGGGUGAGUCGACCCCUAAGGCGAGGCCGAAAGGCGUAGUCGAUGGGAAACAGGUUAAUAUUCCUGUACUUGGUGUUACUGCGAAGGGGGGACGGAGAAGGCUAUGUUGGCCGGGCGACGGUUGUCCCGGUUUAAGCGUGUAGGCUGGUUUUCCAGGCAAAUCCGGAAAAUCAAGGCUGAGGCGUGAUGACGAGGCACUACGGUGCUGAAGCAACAAAUGCCCUGCUUCCAGGAAAAGCCUCUAAGCAUCAGGUAACAUCAAAUCGUACCCCAAACCGACACAGGUGGUCAGGUAGAGAAUACCAAGGCGCUUGAGAGAACUCGGGUGAAGGAACUAGGCAAAAUGGUGCCGUAACUUCGGGAGAAGGCACGCUGAUAUGUAGGUGAAGUCCCUCGCGGAUGGAGCUGAAAUCAGUCGAAGAUACCAGCUGGCUGCAACUGUUUAUUAAAAACACAGCACUGUGCAAACACGAAAGUGGACGUAUACGGUGUGACGCCUGCCCGGUGCCGGAAGGUUAAUUGAUGGGGUCAGCGCAAGCGAAGCUCUUGAUCGAAGCCCCGGUAAACGGCGGCCGUAACUAUAACGGUCCUAAGGUAGCGAAAUUCCUUGUCGGGUAAGUUCCGACCUGCACGAAUGGCGUAAUGAUGGCCAGGCUGUCUCCACCCGAGACUCAGUGAAAUUGAACUCGCUGUGAAGAUGCAGUGUACCCGCGGCAAGACGGAAAGACCCCGUGAACCUUUACUAUAGCUUGACACUGAACAUUGAGCCUUGAUGUGUAGGAUAGGUGGGAGGCUUAGAAGUGUGGACGCCAGUCUGCAUGGAGCCGACCUUGAAAUACCACCCUUUAAUGUUUGAUGUUCUAACGUUGACCCGUAAUCCGGGUUGCGGACAGUGUCUGGUGGGUAGUUUGACUGGGGCGGUCUCCUCCUAAAGAGUAACGGAGGAGCACGAAGGUUGGCUAAUCCUGGUCGGACAUCAGGAGGUUAGUGCAAUGGCAUAAGCCAGCUUGACUGCGAGCGUGACGGCGCGAG
rnacentral:rRNA from 1 species